UCCUGAUUUCAAACACCCUACAGCCCUGCGCCGCCGGCAGUCGUCGUCUUCGUCUGUAGUUCUGUCAUCUCCUCAUCUUCAUCUUCGUCGACCUCGUUUUCGUCUCCUUCAGAUUUUCCUUCCUCAUCCUCAUUCCUGACUGAAGGUCGAUUCGACGCGGUGAGCGACGGCACUUCGUGAGGACAACAAUUCCAACGUGCUAAUAAUUAUCUCUUCACCAUGCGCCAUUUGCUCGGAGCCAUACGACUUCCGCUCCUCCGCCAUCGUGCGUGUUUCCAAUGCGCCAAUUACAAGCCCCAGAAGGCCCAGCCGCCACCUGCCCCACCGUCGCCGCCUAAACCUCCGAAGAAGCCGGUGAGUUUUACGUUGCACGGCGAGGCGUGGGAGGAUGAGUAUAAUUGGAUGUCGCAGCUUAACGACAAAGUGGCGAUGCGGCAUAUGGACGUGUAUAUGGAGCAGGAGGAGAAGUACACCGAGGCUGUGAUGUUUGAUACCGAGCGCCUCCAGUCCAAACUCCAAUCGGAAAUGGCCCCUCGCCUCGCCGCCGAGCUGUCCACCCCUCCCUUCCGCUGGGGUCCUUGGUUGUACUAUAGGCGUGUUGAAGAAGGAAAACAAUAUCCAGUGUUAUGUCGAAGAUUAGCUAGCUUGCAUGAAGAAUUCAUUUCUAAUAAAUCUCCGUCCUCUGGUUUUGAUUUCACAUCCGGAAAGAAGAUUGAGCAAAAGCUGCUUGAUUACAAUCAAGAAGCUGAAAGUCUUGGAGGUUAUGUGUAUGAAGAACACUCAGAAGUGUCUCCUGAUCACCGUUAUCUUGCAUAUACUUUGUAUGACAAAGACAACGACUUCUUCAAAUUAUAUGUCAGAGACUUGAAUUUUGGGUCACUUUGUAGUAAGCCCCAAGCUAACCGGGUUUGCAAUAUAGCUUGGGCUAAAGACGGGCGAGCAUUAGUUUAUGCAGUCACAGAUGAUAAAAAGAGACCCUUCAGGAUCUAUUGCAGCAUAAUUGGAUCAAACGAUCAAGAUGUAUUGCUUCUGGAGGAACCUCAAGAAAAUGUUCAUCUAAAUGUGAGGCAUACUAAAGACUUCCAUUUCAUUACUGUAAAUGCACUUUCAAGCCAAUCAUCCAAGGUAUUUCUAAUAAAUGCAGCUGAUCCUCUGGCUGGAAUGACCCUUGUCUGGGAAUGUGAAGCUAAUGUUCAUUGCGUUAUUGAGCAUCACCAAGGAUAUCUCUAUCUGUUUACAGAUGCUGCUAUUCAGGGUCAGCCUGUAGAUCACCAUUAUCUUUUACGCAGUCCUGUUUCAUCAUCAUGCAGCACAAUGAAUUGGGAGAAUGUUUUUGUAAAUGAUCCACAGCUAGUUAUUGAAGAUGUUGAUUUCUGUAACACUCAUAUGGUACUUCUUUUGAGGGAUGGACGGACUUUUAGAUUAUGUUCUAUUCCUUUACCUCUAAGUAAUGAGAAGAUGGGAUUUCAUCUCAAAAUGUUCAAUCCACAGAAUUUACCCCUUCCGGAUCAUGUCUCUCAAAUCUUUCCGGGAUCUAAUUAUGACUUCUAUUCUUCAACAAUGCGCUUUAUAUUAACAUCACCUGUGAUGCCUGAUGCCGUAGUUGACUAUGAUUUAGUAAAUGAAAAAUGGACAAUUGUUCAACAGCAGAACUUGAUAAUUGAAAGAACAAGAAUUUUAUAUGGAUCAGCUUCUUCUAUGAUCACUAGUCAGAAGGCGUCAACAUCCCAGAACAUUUCUGGAAGUGGUAUUGAAGAUGAAACUGCAUGGAAUGAUCUAUCUGAAUAUUAUGCUUGUGAAAAAUUUGAUGUCCCUUCCGAUGAUGGACUUUCAAUUCCACUGACCAUAGUAUAUUCACGACAUAAGAAGAAAAAUGGUGAAAAUCCUGGAUUACUUCAUGGCCACGGAGCUUAUGGUGAGAUACUUGACAAAAGGUGGCGAAAUGAGCUGAAAAGCCUUCUUGAUCGUGGUUGGGUCAUUGCAUAUGCCGAUGUUAGAGGUGGAGGCGGAGGUGGUAAAAAGUGGCGUCAUGAUGGCAGACAAAGAAAGAAGCUUAACUCUGUUAAAGAUUAUAUAGCUUGUGCAAAGUUUCUCAUUGAAAAAGAUGUUGUCGAAGAAACCAAGCUGGCAGGCUGGGGAUACAGUGCUGGAGGAUUGUUAGUUGCUUCAGCUAUUAACUUUUGCCCAGAUCUAUUUCGAGCUGCUGUUUUGAAAGUUCCAUUUCUGGAUCCAACUAACACCCUCUUGCUACCCAUUUUACCCUUAACACCUGAUGACUAUGAAGAGUUUGGAUAUCCUGGGGAUAUUGAAGAUUUUCGUGCUAUACGUGAAUAUUCUCCCUAUGAUAAUAUAAAGAAAAAUGCAGUCUACCCAUCUGUGCUGGUGACAUCAUCUUUUAACACGAGGUUUGGUGUCUGGGAAGCAGCAAAAUGGGUGGCACGGGUGAGGGAGUAUUCCAUUUAUGAUCCUAAGCGUCCAGUUCUGCUCAAUCUUUCAACAGAAUUAGUUGAGGAAAAUAGGUAUUUGCAGUGCAAGGAGUCAGCAAUGGAGACUGCUUUUCUCAUCAAGGCAGUUACAGAAUCAUAGAAAUGGCUAAUAUGCGAACAAAUUUCAGUCUUUUUUUUGCCAUUCAGGACAAGACACCCAUGGCAAGGAAAAAGUGGUUGAAAUUUUGAUUCCUGAGGAUGUGUGGGCUGGAUUAUGAAGGACUUGGCCCUCAAAUUUUCAGUCUAUCACCCUGGGGGAAUCCAUAAUACUCGCCUACGAAUAUCUAAAAUGCAUGCCCGCCAUAGAUGGAGCAACUUGGAGACAAUGAUCAUUUAAACUUGCCCCUUUCCAUAGGCAACAAUGAUUUUUGUGUAGACAGGUGUGUUACAGAAACGACCUUUGGAAAUAGUAGAAGGUUGAGAAAACCAGAUUAUUCGAUAGCAUUAGAAUUGCUAGCCGAUUUAAGAAAUUACUAUCCCACUUAUUUUUAUUGGGGAUUCACAUUCUUUAAUCGAGCAAUCGGAUCUGCUCAAUACCCAAGAACACAAAUAUUGUUAUUAUCUUCCUUUUUUUGGAUGUAAUAUUUUCUUGCAUGAGGUCAGAAUGUGCCGUUCCUGCAAUAGGUUCUGAUCUGUUCAUUCCUUCUUGUAUCUGUGGUGAAAUUUCCUCAACUUGGGUCUUAUUUGAUGGACCCUACGAAACUACAUUAUUUUGUUGUCGAAAGCUGCUCUCUUCCAUGCUGUUGCUUGAUCCUCAUUAUGUUCACAAUACCGAUCAUAUUGAAUCAUAUGUCAAUGCCCUCUUCUUCCUAGCCAUUGCGUGGGAGUAAAUAUGAUCCGGAUGGUUCUCUAGAAGGCUCGCCAUUUGCAGAGUCUUUCUGUUUUCCUUUCCUUGAAGUGUUCCCUGAAUUUGGUUGGGACAAAAGGAAGUCCUGGCGAACAACAAUCUGGACACGACCUUCUGAACCGUCAUUUGAUUUGAGGACAUGAGUUCGUAUUCAGAAUGCUGCAGAAGCAGUGGAUGUAACAGAGAUCCGUAAAUGGAUUCAAUGCCCCGUACCUGCGGAUAUGACUGCGAUCAAUGAAUCAUAUUUUGAUCAAUGUGUGAGAACGAUAUUCUGUUUGACGCUCUGCAUCAAUGUAAUUCAUGAGCCAACGGUCCUUUCAGGGCUGUUAAAGACAAGCGGCGGAUUGCUGAAGUAAAGACGUGUUUCAUGCUGCUGUACAUCUGUUCCAUUCAUUUCUACCUCUUAAGGUAACUAAUGUCUUUGUAGAAAAGUGAUUCUAUUGCUUGCUGCUAUUCUUGUGCUUGAUAUUUCGUCGAGUCGUUCUUGCUUGUUGCUGCGUAAAUAUCAAUUUACCGGACCUUCCAAGCUUUACUCCUAUUAUUGCUGAAAUUUGUCGAUGACGGCCCAACGGAUUUAGGCCCGUCGAAAUCG